rnacentral:rRNA from 1 species
UACGUAGGGUGCGAGCGUUAAUCGGAAUUACUGGGCGUAAAGCGUGCGCAGGCGGCGCGUUAAGACAGGUGUGAAAGCCCCGAGCUUAACUUGGGAAUUGCGCUUAUGACUGGCGUGCUGGAGUGUGGCAGAGGGAGGUGGAAUUCCACGUGUAGCAGUGAAAUGCGUAGAGAUGUGGAGGAACACCGAUGGCGAAGGCAGCCUCCUGGGCCAGCACUGACGCUCAUGCACGAAAGCGUGGGGAGCAAACAGG